rnacentral:rRNA from 1 species
UACGGGGGGGUCAAGCGUUGUUCGGAAUUACUGGGCGUAAAGGGCUCGUAGGCGGCCAACUAAGUCGGACGUGAAAUCCCCAGGCUCAACCUGGGAACUGCGUCCGAUACUGGAUGGCUUGAAUUCGGGAGAGGGAUGCAGAAUUCCAGGUGUAGCGGUGAAAUGCGUAGAUAUCUGGAGGAAUACCGGUGGCGAAGGCGGCAUCCUGGACCGACAUUGACGCUGAGGAGCGAAAGCUAGGGGAGCAAACGGG